CGCGCAGGCGGUUUCUUAAGUCUGUCUUAAAAGUGCGGGGCUUAACCCCGUGAGGGGACGGAAACUGGGAGACUUGAGUAUCGGAGAGGAAAGCAGAAUUCCUAGUGUAGCGGUGAAAUGCGUAGAUAUUAGGAGGAAUACCAGUGGCGAAAGCGGCUUUCUGGACGACAACUGACGCUGAGGCGCGAAAGCCAGGGGAGCGAACG
rnacentral:rRNA from 1 species